AUACACUUGCUUGAAAGCGAUGCCAUGUGUGCAGAGUCAAAUACAACUCCCCCCCCCUUUUUUUUCCCAAAAAAGAAAAAAAAUCCACACGGUGGAUGCUUGGGAACAUCUCGGAGAUUCUCUUUUUAACCAGUUUGGACUUUCACCCGAUUGAAGUCCAUAAGGGACUUUCGGUCAAAGUGGCGGCUGCACUUGCUCUGCUUAUCGUUGAAAACUUGACUAAAACUUAUCAAGAACAUGGCAGCAGCGACGAUAGGGAGGCUGUCAACCGGCAGAGUUGUCCGCUUCAGUUUGACUGGAAGUCGGGCUGAAGCGUUAGCCGCUAGCGGUGUCGGCGUACCAACGGUGCGUUCACUGACCUCUUCCCCUCUGUCCGUCAGAGCUAUGUCCGGCCUGAGUGCCACGCGCUGCGGGCUACCCAAGGAGAGCGUGGCCGAGAAUGGAGCCUCGCCUCGGGGCAAGGUGCUGACCAUCGACACCAUGAACCCAACGGUGAAGAUGGUGGAGUACGCCGUGCGGGGGCCUAUCGUGCAGCGUGCUGUGGAGUUGGAGAAGGAGCUCUCCGAGGGGAGGAAGAAGCCAUUCCAGGAGGUCAUCAAAGCCAACAUUGGUGAUGCGCAUGCCAUGGGCCAGCAGCCAAUCACCUUUUUUCGGCAGGUUUUGGCACUGUGCUCAUACCCUGAGCUGCUCAAUGACAGUACGUUCCCAGAGGAUGCCAAAAGUAGAGCACGCCGCAUCCUGCAGUCCUGUGGCGGCAACAGUAUGGGGGCCUACAGUGCCAGUCAAGGCAUCGACUGUGUGAGGCAGGACGUGGCUCGCUAUGUUCAACAGAGGGAUGGCGGUGUAUACUGCGACCCGGAUGAUAUUUACCUCACAACUGGGGCCAGCGACGGCAUAGUGACAAUGCUCAAGCUGCUGGUGUGUGGCGAGGGCGCCAACCGCACCGGCGUCAUGAUCUCCAUCCCGCAGUACCCUCUGUACUCGGCGGCGUUGGCAGAACUGGGCGCCGUGCAGAUCAACUACUACCUCAAUGAGGAAGCGUGCUGGAGCUUGGACAUCAGCGAGCUGCAGCGGGCUCUGGACGAAGCCCGAAGCCAUUGCAACCCCAGAGCCUUGUGCAUCAUCAAUCCUGGGAACCCCACAGGCCAAGUUCAGAACAGGAAGUGCAUUGAGGACGUCAUCCGAUUUGCCGCCAAGGAACGUUUGUUCCUCAUGGCAGACGAGGUGUACCAAGAUAACGUGUACGCCGAUGGGUGCCAGUUCCACUCUUUCAAGAAAGUGCUGUUUGAAAUGGGGCCCGAAUACUCCAACACAGUAGAGCUGGCCUCUUUCCACUCCACGUCAAAGUGCUACAUGGGAGAGUGUGGUUUCCGCGGCGGCUACAUGGAGAUCAUCAACAUGGAUGAUGAUGUGAAGGCUCAGCUGACGAAGUUGGUGUCUGUUCGCCUAUGCCCGCCCGUUCCCGGUCAGGCGUUGAUGGACUUAGUGGUCAACCCCCCACAGCCCGGAGAGCCGUCGUAUGACAAAUUCAUGAAGGAGCGCACAGACACUUUAAGUGCCUUAGCAGACAAGGCCAAACUGACAGAAGAGGUGCUUAACACCGUGCCUGGCAUCAGUUGCAAUCCUGUGCAGGGCGCCAUGUACUCAUUCCCUCGUAUUAGCAUUCCAGAAAAGGCUGUCAAGGAGGCUAGCGAAAAAGGACAACAGCCCGACAUGUUCUACUGCAUGAAGCUGCUGGAGGAGACAGGGAUUUGCCUGGUUCCUGGUAGUGGUUUUGGGCAGAAGGACAGAACCUACCACUUCAGGUUUGACAGUUGCCGUCAGAGUUUCAGGAUCAAAGCGCCAACCCACCCGUAAUCUUUUUUGUCGGAACGGCGUUCCGGCCCACUUUCACCCCUGGCUAUAUGAGAAGCAAGCACAGGCAACACAGAUUUUGUCCUCAACGUGGGGUUUCUGCCAUUUAAAAAACGGAUGACCAUCCUGCCUCCCGCCGAUAAACUGAAGAUCCUCCUAAGCAAAGUGAAGGAAUUCCACCAGAGGUUCACCAAGCAGUACUCCUAAACCCCCUCAGUUACUGUCACAAGCGCUCAGUGAAGAAUUUAUGCCAAAAUCACAAACCUGGUGUUUUUUUUAAAGUGCCUUCACGUCAACACUUCUUUCUAUCACCUUGUGGACGUUCGCACACGUUUAAACAAAGGCACUCAAAAUGAAGUUGCAUUGAAAUUUGUUGUACAGUGUGGAUGGUGAGUAUGGAAGACUUUGUGCCAAGUUUUUUUUUUUAAUUAAAACAAUAAUUAAUGCUGCUUAAAGAAACAAAACAUGAAGGGAUGGCCGUACUUGACUUGAAGUUGUAUUUGCAUGACCAAAAUAAAUGUCAUUCUCCAGCGUA